GCUCAGAGCAGACCCUAGAUGCUUUACUAAGGCAGCAGCUGACUCACCAUGCUGCCUGAGGCAGGGAAUAAGCAGAAACAAGCCCAGGGGACAGACAAGAGCCGUCUGCAGCCCUCGCCACUGCCACGGAGAGGUGGGGUUCACCUCACACCUGAGAGAGAAGGGAGCCAAAAAAGGAGCUGCUCCCUGGCACUCUGCAGCCCAUUUUUAUUCAAAAAGGUGGGUGUCAUUUCAACUUGUCCCCAAAUCCUGGCUUUGAUGUGACAACUAGUGCACAGAGGUACAAAAGAAAGGAGGCAGAUCUAUAAAAUGCUUCUUGCCUGAGCCAGGGUUUAGUUAGACUCCUAUAAUUAACGACUGCGGCUCUCCUAAGAAAGAUCCCAGCUGCUUUGCUCUGCAGCCUGCACUAUCAAUUUUUCUCUCACGCAACCGACACGCACCAAAACUCAUUCCUGUGAGGGAGGGAAUGAGCACGUAUAAAUCAAACGCAUCUGGAAAACAUGAGCAGGAGGGGAGGAGGUAAAGGGAGAACAUACUCCAAAGCAAGCGACAAAAAUCAGCAUCCCUGUGAGGAUGCAGUCAGCUUCCCCUGGGCCACAAGAACCUUGUAGGGUCAAGUGCAGUGAGCCCUUCGUAUCUGAGCAGUAGGUGAGGAGCUUGGGAAGUGAGCGAGACCUCUCUGUGCCCUGCAUAGCACACUUGUUUUAUCUUAAGAUAAACAACUCUCAAUAAGCUGUCCUUCUGCUGAACUAUUUUGUGUUUGGACCAGUCCCAGGGGGCCCAGGGCCCUCUGCUUUCCCCCAGCCUUUGGGAAGCCCUCACAACCUGAUAGUUCUAAUGCCCUGCAGAAUUAUCACAUCCAGCACAGGUGACAAUCAACCCACAAUGCCUAUGAUAUUGUAGAAGAGGACAUCCUCAAGCAGCAGAAGUCUGUUCUUCAACUUCUUACAACAGGAGCCUUGAUUUGUUUGGAAGUGUAGCCCAUGCUUCUAAGCAUGAAACGCAUUGACUGAGGCUUUCUGUGUACCUUUGCUUUUCAGAUUCGCUGCUUUUCUCCAGGCUAGCAGAGUCCAGUCCUUGAAAGGCAGCUAAUUUUCCAGUCCUUUGGUCUUGCAUGGAGCAGAUCCAACCUCAGCCAGACAGAAGUCGAAACUGCCGCACAUGACCAACGCAGCGACUCCCGAGGCUUAAGGGGUCCACCUAGUGCAGUUCGAGCUGUACUGCCAGAACGGCAAGCAGAGCAAGCCACGCAUGCAAGCCUCUUCCCCUGCGAGUCCAGCAACACCACCCGUGGCACUGCUUCAUUUACUCUGGAUAAGUAAAAACUUUCAUCCCCAGGUCUGACAGCAAAGCCACUGUCAGUUCCGGGGACCAAGAGA